CAUGUCCUUUUGAUAAUAAUUUAAGGUCUAGCCUGCUCAAUGAUAUAUUAAAUAGCCGCGAUAUUCUGAUCGUGCGAAGGUAGCAUAAUCAUUUGUUCCUUAAUUAGGAUCUAGAAUGAAUGGUUGGACGAGGAAAUAUCUGUCUCAAUUUAUAAUUUGAAAUUUAUUUUUAAGUUAAAAAGCUUAAAUUUAUUUAUUAGACGAGAAGACCCUAUAGAGUUUAAUAUUAUUGUGUUAAUAUAAUUUUAGAAGUUAAUUUUUAUUAAUUAUUAUAGUAUUUGGUUGGGGUGAUUGGAAAAUUUAAUUAACUUUUCUUUAUUAAAAUAUUGAUAAAUAGAUAUUUGAAUUAUUUAUAUUUAAAAGAUAAAUUACCUUAGGGAUAACAGCGUAAUUUUUUUAGAGAGUUCAUAUCGAUAAAAGAGAUUGCGACCUCGAUGUUGGAUUAAAGUUAACUUUUAGUGUAGAAGCUAAUAUGUUUAGUCUGUUCGACUAUUAAAACUUUACAUGAUCUGAGU
rnacentral:rRNA from 1 species